GUGCCAGCCGCCGCGGUAAUACGGAGACUGCGAGCGUUACUCGGAUUCACUGGGCGUAAAGGGUGCGCAGGCGGCCAGGUGUGUCAGAUGUGAAAGCCUACGGCUCAACCGUGGAACUGCAUUUGAAACUACCUGGCUAGAGUAUCGGAGAGGUAAGCGGAAUUCCUAGUGUAGCGGUGAAAUGCGUAGAUAUUAGGAGGAACACCGAAGGCGAAGGCAGCUUACUGGACGAUUACUGACGCUCAGGCACGAAAGCGUGGGGAGCGAAAGGGAUUAGAUACCCCUGUAGUCCACGCCGUAAACGUUGCAUACUCGGUCUUGGGGAAUUCGACCUCUUCAGGGCCUAAGCUAACGCAAUAAGUAUGCCGCCUGAGGACUACGGCCGCAAGGCUAAAACUCAAAUAAAUUGACGG
rnacentral:rRNA from 1 species